rnacentral:rRNA from 1 species
UGGGGAAUAUUGGACAAUGGGGGCAACCCUGAUCCAGCAAUGCCGCGUGUGUGAAGAAGGCCUGCGGGUUGUAAAGCACUUUCAGUAGAGAAGAAAAGCCUAAGGUUAAUAACCUUGAGUCUUGACGUAACCUACAGAAGAAGCACCGGCUAACUCCGUGCCAGCAGCCGCGGUAAUACGGAGGGUGCAAGCGUUAAUCGGAAUUACUGGGCGUAAAGGGCGCGUAGGCGGCCCGGCAAGUCAGACGUGAAAGCCCACGGCUCAACCGUGGAACUGCGUUUGAAACUGCCGGGCUUGAGUCCCGGAGAGGGUAGUGGAAUUCCCAGUGUAGCGGUGAAAUGCGUAGAUACUGGGAGGAACACCGGUGGCGAAGGCGGCUACCUGGACGGGUACUGACGCUGAGGCGCGAAAGCGUGGGGAGCAAACAGGAUUAGAUACCCUCGUAGUCCCUGAGCGGGCUGGCAAGGCGCAU